CCUACGGGAGGCAGCAGUGGGGAAUCUUGCGCAAUGGGCGAAAGCCUGACGCAGCCAUGCCGCGUGAAUGAUGAAGGUCUUAGGAUUGUAAAAUUCUUUCACCGGGGACGAUAAUGACGGUACCCGGAGAAGAAGCCCCGGCUAACUUCGUGCCAGCAGCCGCGGUAAUACGAAGGGGGCUAGCGUUGCUCGGAAUUACUGGGCGUAAAGGGAGCGUAGGCGGAUAGUUUAGUCAGAGGUGAAAGCCCAGGGCUCAACCUUGGAAUUGCCUUUGAUACUGGCUAUCUUGAGUUUGGGAGAGGUGAGUGGAACUCCGAGUGUAGAGGUGAAAUUCGUAGAUAUUCGGAAGAACACCAGUGGCGAAGGCGACUCACUGGCCCAAUACUGACGCUGAGGCUCGAAAGCGUGGGGAGCAAACAGGAUUAGAUACCCUGGUAGUCCACGCCGUAAACGAUGAGUGCUAGUUGUCGGCAUGCAUGCAUGUCGGUGACGCAGCUAACGCAUUAAGCACUCCGCCUGGGGAGUACGGUCGCAAGAUUAAAACUCAAAUGAAUUGACGG
rnacentral:rRNA from 1 species